AUUGAACGCUGGCGGCAGGCUUAACACAUGCAAGUCGAACGAGUGGCGGACGGGUGAGUAAUGCUUGGGAAUCUCGCUUAUCGAGGGGGAUAACUACGGGAAACUGUAGCUAAUACCGCUUACCAUAGGAUUAGCCCAAGUCGGAUUAGGUAGUUGGUGCGGUAAAGGCUCACCAAGCCGACGAUCUCUAGCUGGUCUGAGAGGCGGACCAGCCACACUGGGACGGAGACACGGCACAGACUCCUACGGGAGGCAGCAGUGGGGAAUAUUGCGCAAGGGGGGCAACCGGACGAAGCCAUGCCGCGUGAAUGAAGAAGGCCUUCGGGUUGUAAAGUUCUUUCGGUAGCGAGGCGGUAACGACAGAAGAAGCACCGGCUAACUCCGUGCCAGCAGCCGCGGUAAUAC
rnacentral:rRNA from 1 species